AUUGAACGCUGGCGGCAUGCUUUACACAUGCAAGUCGAACGGUAACAGGUUAAGCUGACGAGUGGCGAACGGGUGAGUAAUGAAUCGGAACGUGCCCGAUCGUGGGGGAUAACGCAGCGAAAGCUGCGCUAAUACCGCAUACGAUCUGAGGAUGAAAGCGGGGGACCGUAAGGCCUCGCGCGAUCGGAGCGGCCGAUGUCAGAUUAGGUAGUUGGUGGGGUAAAGGCUCACCAAGCCAACGAUCUGUAGCUGGUCUGAGAGGACGACCAGCCACACUGGGACUGAGACACGGCCCAGACUCCUACGGGAGGCAGCAGUGGGGAAUUUUGGACAAUGGGCGCAAGCCUGAUCCAGCAAUGCCGCGUGCAGGAAGAAGGCCUUCGGGUUGUAAACUGCUUUUGUACGGAACGAAACGGUCUGGGUUAAUACCCUGGGCUAAUGACGGUACCGUAAGAAUAAGCACCGGCUAACUACGUGCCAGCAGCCGCCGUAACAC
rnacentral:rRNA from 1 species